rnacentral:rRNA from 1 species
UGGUGGAGUGAUUUGUCUGGUUAAUUCCGAAACGAACGAGACUCUAGCCUGCUAAAUAGUCAGUAUAUUUUAUUUGUAUACUUGACUUCUUAGAAGGAUUCGCUAUCGUAUAGUGGCAAGAGAUUGAGCAAUAACA